rnacentral:rRNA from 1 species
GAUGAACGCUGGCGGCGUGCCUAAUACAUGCAAGUCGAACGCACAGCGAAAGGUGCUUGCACCUUUCAAGUGAGUGGCGAACGGGUGAGUAACACGUGGAUAACCUACCUCAAGGUUGGGGAUAACAUUUGGAAACAGAUGCUAAUACCGAAUAAAACUUCGUAUCGCAUGAUACAAGGUUAAAAGGCGCUACGGCGUCACCUAGAGAUGGAUCCGCGGUGCAUUAGUUAGUUGGUGGGUAAAGGCUACCAAGACAAUGAUGCAUAGCCGAGUUGAGAGACUGAUCGGCCACAUUGGGACUGAGACGCGGCCCAAACUCCUACGGGAGGCUGCAGUAGGGAAUCUUCCACAAUGGGCGAAAGCCUGAUGGAGCAACGCCGCGUGUGUGAUGAAGGCUUUCGGGUCGGUAAAGCACUGUUG